rnacentral:rRNA from 1 species
AUUGAACGCUGGCGGCAGGCUUAACACAUGCAAGUCGAGCGGGGUGAUGGUGCUUGCACUAUCACUUAGCGGCGGACGGGUGAGUAAUGCUUAGGAAUCUGCCUAUUAGUGGGGGACAACAUCUCGAAAGGGAUGCUAAUACCGCAUACGUCCUACGGGAGAAAGCAGGGGAUCACUUGUGACCUUGCGCUAAUAGAUGAGCCUAAGUCGGAUUAGCUAGUUGGUGGGGUAAAGGCCUACCAAGGCGACGAUCUGUAGCGGGUCUGAGAGGAUGAUCCGCCACACGGGGACUGAGACACGGCCCAGACACCUGCGGGAGGCAGCAGUGGGGAAUAUUGGACAAUGGGGGGAACCCUGAUCCAGCCAUGCCGCGUGUGUGAAGAAGGCCUUAUGGUUGUAAAGCACUUUAAGCGAGGAGGAGGCUCUUUUGGUUAAUACCCAAGAUGAGUGGACGUUACUCGCAGAAUAAGCACCGGCUAACUCUGUGCCAGCCGCCGCAGUAA